rnacentral:tRNA from 1 species
CGAUAGCUCAGUAGGAUAGAGCGACUGCCUCCUAAGCAGUAGGCCAUCGGUUCGAUUCCGGUUC